CUGGAGGUAUCAGAAGUGCGAAUGCUGACAUAAGUAACGAUAAAGCGGGUGAAAAGCCCGCUCGCCGGAAGACCAAGGGUUCCUGUCCAACGUUAAUCGGGGCAGGGUGAGUCGACCCCUAAGGCGAGGCCGAAAGGCGUAGUCGAUGGGAAACGGGUUAAUAUUCCCGUACUUGGUGUUACUGCGAAGGGGGGACGGAGAAGGCUAUGUUGGCCGGGCGACGGUUGUCCCGGUUUAAGCGUGUAGGUGUGUGUUCCAGGUAAAUCCGGUUCACUUUAACACUGAGGCGUGAUGACGAGGCACUACGGUGCUGAAGCAACAAAUGCCCUGCUUCCAGGAAAAGCCUCUAAGCAUCAGGUAACAUCAAAUCGUACCCCAAACCGACACAGGUGGUCAGGUAGAGAAUACCAAGGCGCUUGAGAGAACUCGGGUGAAGGAACUAGGCAAAAUGGUGCCGUAACUUCGGGAGAAGGCACGCUGACACGUAGGUGAAGUGAUUUACUCACGGAGCUGAAGUCAGUCGAAGAUACCAGCUGGCUGCAACUGUUUAUUAAAAACACAGCACUGUGCAAACACGAAAGUGGACGUAUACGGUGUGACGCCUGCCCGGUGCCGGAAGGUUAAUUGAUGGGGUCAGCGCAAGCGAAGCUCCUGAUCGAAGCCCCGGUAAACGGCGGCCGUAACUAUAACGGUCCUAAGGUAGCGAAAUUCCUUGUCGGGUAAGUUCCGACCUGCACGAAUGGCGUAAUGAUGGCCAGGCUGUCUCCACCCGAGACUCAGUGAAAUUGAACUCGCUGUGAAGAUGCAGUGUACCCGCGGCAAGACGGAAAGACCCCGUGAACCUUUACUAUAGCUUGACACUGAACAUUGAGCCUUGAUGUGUAGGAUAGGUGGGAGGCUUUGAAGUGUGGACGCCAGUCUGCAUGGAGCCGACCUUGAAAUACCACCCUUUAAUGUUUGAUGUUCUAACGUGGACCCGUAAUCCGGGUUGCGGACAGUGUCUGGUGGGUAGUUUGACUGGGGCGGUCUCCUCCUAAAGAGUAACGGAGGAGCACGAAGGUUGGCUAAUCCUGGUCGGACAUCAGGAGGUUAGUGCAAUGGCAUAAGCCAGCUUGACUGCGAGCGUGACGGCGCGAGCAGGUGCGAAAGCAGGUCAUAGUGAUCCGGUGGUUCUGAAUGGAAGGGCCAUCGCUCAACGGAUAAAAGGUACUCCGGGGAUAACAGGCUGAUACCGCCCAAGAGUUCAUAUCGACGGCGGUGUUUGGCACCUCGAUGUCGGCUCAUCACAUCCUGGGGCUGAAGUAGGUCCCAAGGGUAUGGCUGUUCGCCAUUUAAAGUGGUACGCGAGCUGGGUUUAGAACGUCGUGAGACAGUUCGGUCCCUAUCUGCCGUGGGCGCUGGAGAACUGAGGGGGGCUGCUCCUAGUACGAGAGGACCGGAGUGGACGCAUCACUGGUGUUCGGGUUGUCAUGCCAAUGGCACUGCCCGGUAGCUAAAUGCGGAAGAGAUAAGUGCUGAAAGCAUCUAAGCACGAAACUUGCCCCGAGAUGAGUUCUCCCUGAGACUUAGAGUCUCCUGAAGGAACGUUGAAGACGACGACGUUGAUAGGCCGGGUGUGUAAGCGCAGCGAUGCGUUGAGCUAACCGGUACUAAUGAACCGUGAGGCUUAACCUUACAACGCCGAAG
rnacentral:rRNA from 1 species